rnacentral:pre_miRNA from 12 species
CCGCUGCCGGACUUGCUGGUCCUCUGUGGGCAUCUUACUAGACAGUGCUGGAUUUGCUGCCUCUACUCUAACACUGUCUGGUAACGAUGUUUAAAGGGUGAUCCAAACCGCUCCGGCCCAA